CCUACGGGAGGCAGCAGUGGGGAAUAUUGCACAAUGGGGGAAACCCUGAUGCAGCGACGCCGCGUGAGUGAAGAAGUAUUUCGGUAUGUAAAGCUCUAUCAGCAGGGAAGAAAAUGACGGUACCUGAUUCAGAAGCCCCGGCUAAAUACGUGCCAGCAGCCGCGGUAAUACGUAGGGGGCAAGCGUUAUCCGGAUUUACUGGGUGUAAAGGGAGCGUAGACGGCAGCACAAGUCUGGAGUGAAAUGCCGGGGCUGAACCCCGGAACUGCUUUGGAAACUGUGCAGCUAGAGUGCAGGAGAGGUAAGUGGAAUUCCUAGUGUAGCGGUGAAAUGCGUAGAUAUUAGGAGGAACACCAGUGGCGAAGGCGGCUUACUGGACUAUAACUGACGUUGAGGCUCGAAAGCGUGGGGAGCAAACAGGAUUAGAUACCCCAGUAGUC
rnacentral:rRNA from 1 species